UACGUAGGUGGCAAGCGUUGUCCGGAAUUACUGGGCGUAAAGCGAACGCAGGCGGAUGGUUAAGUAAGAAGUGAAAGGUCGGAGCUCAACUCCAACAUUGCUUCUUAUACUGGCCGUCUUGAGUCCCGGAGAGGAAAGCGGAACUGCACGUGUAGCGGUGAAAUGCGUUGAUAUGUGCAGGAACACCAAUGGCGAAGGCAGCUUUCUGGACGAGGACUGACGCUCAUGUUCGAAAGCCAAGGUAGCGAACAGG
rnacentral:rRNA from 1 species